AGUUUAAUAAUUCUCUAGUCCAAGUGCCUCUUUAUGACACUAUGGCUCAUUCUGUCCCAACAUGGAUACUAAGUUCAAGAACUUAUAAUUCUAGUCAAAAUCGAAGCAUGAAUCUUGAUUUCCUAUCAUCUCAUAGAAUAUUCGUCGCAUGCAUAUUAACAAAACACAUUGUCUCUCUCUCUCUACUACAUAGAGUAAAUUUUCUUGAUGCACAACAUAUAAGUUCUAAGCAUUCAAAAACUCUCAUAAAUGCUACUAAACAUGAAUAUGCAUGAAUUUAAGGAGCAUGAAAGCAUUUAACCACUUAGGAGGAAUUUCCUCCAAUUUCAAGGAAGCCAAACCCACCGAUGACAACGAAACUUCUCGUGCGCUCCCACGAG
rnacentral:lncRNA from 1 species